CAGGUCUUGACAUCCUCUGACAAUCCUAGAGAUAGGACGUUCCCCUUCGGGGGACAGAGUGACAGGUGGUGCAUGGUUGUCGUCAGCUCGUGUCGUGAGAUGUUGGGUUAAGUCCCGCAACGAGCGCAACCCUUGUCCUUAGUUGCCAGCAUUUAGUUGGGCACUCUAAGGAGACUGCCGGUGACAAACCGGAGGAAGGUGGGGAUGACGUCAAAUCAUCAUGCCCCUUAUGACCUGGGCUACACACGUGCUACAAUGGAUGGUACAAAGGGCUGCGAGACCGCGAGGUUUAGCCAAUCCCAUAAAACCAUUCUCAGUUCGGAUUGUAGGCUGCAACUCGCCUACAUGAAGCCGGAAUCGCUAGUAAUCGUGGAUCAGCAUGCCACGGUGAAUACGUUCCC
rnacentral:rRNA from 1 species